GCUGGGCGCACCCGUCCCGUUCGUCCCCGGACGUUGCUCUCUACCCCGGGAACGUCGAGACUGGAGCGCCCGAACUGAGCCACCUUCGCGGACCCCGAGAGCGGCGGCGCGACUCACCGCGGAGGCGCCCGGACGCGUCAAGUGCGUACUUUCAACCGUAAAUGGGUGCUGAGCGUUUAGGGGUGCGGGGCAACUCCCUAACUCGUGGGGCCCUGGCCGGCCCUGCCGCGGCGUCCGAGACCUUCUGAUCCCUCGCUGCGCGCGGCGCGGGGUUGGCGACUUGGGCUCAGGGGCGGCGGGGCGGGGAGGUGCCUUGACCUAGGGACCCAGAGGCCGGGAGCAAGUCUCCUUUCGCCUUGGACUGCAGUGUCCCCCAGGGCAAGGCCUGAACCAGGUCGCGAGGGUCUGUCUCCCGUCUGGGGAGCUGAACUGCCCGAGACACUGUCGCAGUCGCGGGGACUUGUCUGGAGCGGCGGGGUCUGAGCCCAAGUCGGAAGCCGCCGCCGCCGCCAGCGUCCCGUGCGCCUGCCGCCCCGGGACCAGCCGCGAAACUUCUUCUCGGGACGGAGACAGCGCUCGCCGCCCGGGCCGAGGCCCAGCCCAAUAGGAAGCACCUGAUCCACACUCUUUCUAGCCCCAGGGAUGCUCAGGAAAGCAGCCUUUCUUUAGGGCUGUCAUCUGUUCUGGGGAUCUGUUGCUGUUUCUUGGGCCCACAGAAUACACUCCACACCUCGGGACUCCAUAAUAUUGGACAAGGCUGGAAGGCCCAUUUGGCUCCUGCAGCCUCUUAUGCAGGUGAGGACAGACCCAAGGUCCAGGCAAUGCUGGCCUUUGGAACACAGAACCUGGCUCACUGACUCCCACUCCAGUUGUCU
rnacentral:lncRNA from 10 species